rnacentral:tRNA from 1 species
UAAUAAAUACCUUUAAGUUAAAAGGGAUGUAUUGAUAAUGCAUAUAUAUCUUUGAUUUUAUUAA